rnacentral:tRNA from 1 species
CCUUUAGCUCAGCGGUUAGAGCGCCCGGCUCAUAACCGGUCGGUCCUGGGUUCAAAUCCCCGAA